rnacentral:rRNA from 1 species
GGAUAAUCUGCCCUUAGGUGGAGGAUAUCCCCGGGAAACUGGGACUAAUACUCCAUAGUGGAUAUAUGCUGGAAUGCUGUAUCCUCGAAAGAUUAAUCGCCUAAGGAUGAGUCUGUGCCCGAUUAGGUUGUUGGCGGGGUAACGGCCCACCAAGCCAUUGAUCGGUACGGGUUGUGGGAGCAAGAUCCCGGAGAUGGAUUCUGAGACAUGAAUCCAGGCCCUACGGGGCGCAGCAGGCGCGCAAACUUUACAAUGCGAGCAAUCGUGAUAAGGAAACCCUGAGUGCCUGUCGAUGCAGGCUGUUCAUAUAUCUAAAUCAUAUGUGAGGAAAGGGCAGGGCAAGACCGGUGCCAGCCGCCGCGGUAAUACCGGCUGCUCGAGUGAUAACCACUAUUACUGGGUUUAAAGCGUCCGUAGCUUGAUUGUUAGGUCUCUUGGGAAAUCUUCACGCUCAACGUGAAGGCGUCUAAGAGAUACCGGCAAUCUUGGAACUGGGAGAGGUAAACCGUACUUCGGGGGUAGGAGUGAAAUCUUGUAAUCCUCGAGGGACGACCUAUGGCGAAGGCAGUUUACCAGAACAGCUUCGACAGUGAGGGACGAAAGCUGGGGGAGCAAACGGGAUUAGAUACCCCGGUAGUCCCAGCCGUAAACAAUGUGCGUUAGGUCUGUCGGUAACCACGUGUUACUGAUGAGCCGAAGAGAAAUCGUGAAACGCACCACCUGGGAAGUACGGUCGCAAGGCUGAAACUUAAAGGAAUUGGCGGGGGAGCACCACAACAGGUGGAGCCUGCGGUUUAAUUGGAUUCAACGCCGGACAUCUCACCGGAUAAGACAGCUGAAUGAUUGUCAAUCUGAAGGUUUUACAUGACUAGCUGAGAGGGGGUGCAUGGC